rnacentral:lncRNA from 1 species
UGAUCAUAUAAUGUCUCAACUAAACAUCAUCAUACAAAACAACUAACAAUCACAUAAUCAACAAGGAGUAUGGCGAUUAAACUAACCGAAAGUUAAUGCCUCGAGGGGGGGGGGUUCUCUUCUGUGUACGUAAAAGAUGGAGGAAUAGGGUUUUGUUUGAAUUGUGAAACCUUAUACAAGAUAUACGUAAUUAAUGGGGAGGGAAGGUAGGCUCGAUUUGGGCCUGAGAUAAAACAAGGAACCAAAUACAAUUUAUCAUGUGAGCACACAAUGGCCGACCCAAGUUACUUAUCUCUAAUUUCCACUUGGGCUUUACUAAGCCCAUGCGCAAAUGUGACCUAACUGGACAUAUAUGUGCGCUCGGGUUGGACUCAAGAAACUCGCGGCCCGCAAGUGUCGAGUAAUUCCGCGGCCCAUAUAAGUUAGUUUCCUGAAUUUACUAAAUUACACAAUUAAUCGCAUCACGAUUUCUUGUAACCAUAUACACAUAACACUUAAUAGUAUUCAAUUAUAACUUUCAAGUAAUUUAAACAUGUAUUCGACAGCUAUCGUUUAAUAACAAAGUUCAUAUGGUAUUCAAGUGAAGUACCACAUACAGUAAAGCAUGAAACGAUCAGUACAGAAAGGAAUAGAGUUUGAAAAUACGAGUUGUCACAUCAUCCCCAAGUUGAAAGAAAUUUCGUCCAGAAAUUUAGCACGUAGUUACUGAGGAAGCUAGUUAGGUUGCGUGGUUUCCUGGUUUUUCCUAGGGUGUCACAAAUAUGAUAUAAUAGAAAUUACGCAUUAAUUAAGCAGCGUACAUAUUUGAUGAACCUAUUUAAAAAAAUAUUAAUUAACUUUUUUUAAUCUAUACUUUGUAAUACUUUAAAAUAUGAAAGAAUAAAAACAAUUUAAUUACAGGACCCAGAUAUAAUACUUUCUUAAUUCAAAUAUCCUUUCUUUUAUGAAAGUACAACAAUUUCAAUCCGAUGAUGAGGGGGGUGUAGUUAGACUAGAGGGUAUGGGGGCUGGCUGA